rnacentral:lncRNA from 10 species
AUCUUUUCUAUCACUUUUUUUAUUCAUCUACUUAUUAAAUAUUUAUUAAGCACCUACAUUAUGCUGGAGGCUCAGCUAAGAUUGAAGAUAUAAAAAUGAAUUAGACAUCUCUGGGCCACCUCUCUCUUUCCUUUCCAUCCACUCCAAACUCCCACCCACCUCCUCCUCUGGCAAAUCUGCGUAUUCUGUACACAUAAUCAGCCCACAAACCACCAUCGCCACUAUUACCGGCAAUUGUUCCCAUCUCCAAGAAUGUCCAUUGUCCUUUUCAUGAUAAACACCUUUCUGACAAGGUCUAUGGGGACAGCCUGAUAGAGUGCUGUUAAAUUCAACACUUACAGCCAGGGCCCCGGUCAAAUGCUAUUUGGACACACGUUACUUGAAUUGUAAUCCUCGACCUUCAAAUAAAUACUCAAUAGAAUGUAUUACAUGAAAAUUCGAAAAAUCUUUAAAGCCAGGCGCAGUGUCUCAUGCCUGUAAUCCCAGCACUUUGGGAGGCUGAGGCGGGCAGAUCACGAGGUCAGGAGAUCGAGACCAUCCUGGCUAACACGGUGAAACCCCGUCUCUACUAAAAAUUUUCUGAUUAACUGCCAUAUAUUAUAUUAUUUGAAUAACUUUAGGAAAGAUUAAUUUCCAAGCUCUGUCCCUGGUAGUAUUUUUUCCUGGCUGAAAUUGGGCUUUAAAACAAAACGUCAGCAAUGCAAGCUGACGAUUCCAGUUACAGGUUCAGAAACUUCGAGUGCAGGCAGUUAAAAGUGAUUUAAGAAAGGCAAAAUCAUUCUUUCACAAAUGUGUAUGUUAAACUUGUAAAUUGAUAUAUCAAAACCACAACCGGAAUAUAGCAAUUUGUCUCUCUUUGCCUGCUGUGGUGUCUCCCGCAGCUGCCUGCCAGAUAAUAUACUGAUUGUAACUUUCC